rnacentral:rRNA from 1 species
GAUCAUGGCUCAGGAUGAACGCUAGCUACAGGCUUAACACAUGCAAGUCGAGGGGAAACGAUAUUGGAAGCUUGCUUCCGAUAGGCGUCGACCGGCGCACGGGUGAGUAACGCGUAUCCAACCUGCCCACCACUUGGGGAUAACCUUGCGAAAGUAAGACUAAUACCCAAUGAUAUCCCACGAAGGCAUCCGAAUGGGAUUAAAGAUUUAUCGGUGAUGGAUGGGGAUGCGUCUGAUUAGCUUGUUGGCGGGGUAACGGCCCACCAAGGCGACGAUCGGUAGGGGUUCUGAGAGGAAGGUCCCCCACAUUGGAACUGAGACACGGUCCAAACUCCUACGGGAGGCAGCAGUGAGGAAUAUUGGUCAAUGGACGAGAGUCUGAACCAGCCAAGUAGCGUGCAGGACGACGGCCCUAUGGGUUGUAAACUGCUUUUAUAAGGGAAUAAAGUGAGUCUCGUGAGGCUUUUUGCAUGUACCUUAUGAAUAAGGACCGGCUAAUUCCGUG